GAUGAACGCUGGCGGCGUGCCUAAUACAUGCAAGUCGAGCGAACGGACGAGAAGCUUGCUUUUCUGAUGUUAGCGGCGGACGGGUGAGUAACACGUGGAUAACCUACCUAUAAGACUGGGAUAACUUCGGGAAACCGGAGCUAAUACCGGAUAAUAUUUUGAACCGCAUGAUUCAAAAGUGAAAGACGGUCUUGCUGUCACUUAUAGAUGGAUCCGCGCUGCAUUAGCUAGUUGGUAAGGUAACGGCUUACCAAGGCAACGAUGCAUAGCCGACCUGAGAGGGUGAUAGGCCACACUGGAACUGAGACACGGUCCAGACUCCUACGGGAGGCAGCAGUAGGGAAUCUUCCGCAAUGGGCGAAAGCCUGACGGAGCAACGCCGCGUGAGUGAUGAAGGUCUUCGGAUCGUAAAACUCUGUUAUUAGGGAAGAACAUAUGUGUAAGUAACUGUGCACAUCUUGACGGUACCUAAUCAGAAAGCCACGGCUAACUACGUG
rnacentral:rRNA from 1 species